rnacentral:rRNA from 1 species
GACGAACGCUGGCGGCGUGCUUAACACAUGCAAGUCGAACGGAAAGGCCCUGCUUUUGUGGGGUGCUCGAGUGGCGAACGGGUGAGUAACACGUGAGUAACCUGCCCUUGACUUUGGGAUGACUUCAGGAAACUGGGGCUAAUACCGGAUAGGAACUCCUGCUGCAUGGUGGGGGGUGGAAAGUUUCGGCGGUUGGGGAUGGACUCGCGGCUUAUGAGCUUGUUGGUGGGGUAGUGGCUUACCAAGGCUUUGACGGGUAGCCGGCCUGAGAGGGUGACCGGGCACAUUGGGACUGAGAUACGGCCCAGACUCCUACGGGGGGCAGCAGUGGGGAAUAUUGUGCAAUGGGCGGAAGCCUGAUGCAGCGACGCCGCGUGUGGGAUGACGGCCUUCGGGUUGUAAACCGCUUUCGCCUGUGACGAAGCGUGAGUGACGGUAAUGGGAAAAGAAGCACCGGCUAACUACGUG